AGUGAACGCUGGCGGUAGGCCUAACACAUGCAAGUCGAACGGCAGCACAGUAAGAGCUUGCUCUUACGGGUGGCGAGUGGCGGACGGGUGAGGAAUACAUCGGAAUCUACUUUUUCGUGGGGGAUAACGUAGGGACACUUACGCUAAUACCGCAUACGACCUACGGGUGAAAGCAGUGGAUCUUCGGACCUUGCGCGAUUGAAUGAGCCGAGGUCGGAUUAGCUAGUUGGCGUGGUAAAGGCCCACCAAGGCGACGGUCCGUAGCUGGUCUGAGAGGAUGAUCAGCCACACUUGAACUGAGACACGGUCCAGACUCCUACGGGAGGCAGGAGUGGGGAAUAUUGGACAAUGGGGGCAAGCCUGAUCCAGCCAUACCGCGUGGGUGAAGAAGGCCUUCGGGUUGUAAAGCCCUUUUGUUGGGAAAGAAAAGCAGCAGGUUAAUACCCCGCUGUUCUGACGGUACCCAAAGAAUAAGCACCGGCUAACUUCGUG
rnacentral:rRNA from 1 species